AACGAACGCUGGCGGCGUGGAUAAGACAUGCAAGUCGAACGGGACAACAUUUGUAGCAAUACCGAUGUUGUUUAGUGGCGAACGGGUGCGUAACACGUGGGCAAUCUGCCGAGAAGUGGGGGAUAGCUCGCCGAAAGGACGAAUUAAUACCGCAUAUGAUCAGAGGAGACAUUUCUUCGACAUCAAAGCCGGGGCGAACCUGGCGCUUUUGUAGGAGCCCGCCGGCCUAUCAGCUAGUUGGUGAGGUAACGGCUCACCAAGGCUUUGACGGGUAGCUGGUCUGAGAGGACGACCGGUCACACUGGAACUGAGACA
rnacentral:rRNA from 1 species